CUGUACAUCGCUGACUCACGGUCAACCAAUCAGAGCGCUGCAUUUCAUCUACAGUAUUAUAACACGAGAUAAUGCUGACUUAAAGUAUGUUCAUUGACAAAUUGGUUAAAAUUGCAAGGGUUUUGUCAGUUUGUGUUGACUAGUUUGUUGGCAUUAGCUACUAGUUAGCUGGUUAGCGUUACUUUACUCGCUGCCAAAUUAGUCAGCCAGCUGAUGAAAUUGCCACGUCAGCCUAUUUUUAGCAUUAGGCCUACGUAGAAGUUAGCAUGUGGUAACCACGGGAAUAUUUCACUCCUCCAUUCAUGUCUGAAUUAUGGAUAAGUUACAAAUCCAAUGUCAAUACCAUUUAAUGUAGUUUGUCUUUUGAGAAACAUAAAUAACUAACGUUAAUGUUAAUUAACUAUGUUGGUAAUAUGGAACAGCCGUAAUCUACUUCUCUCUGUAUGUAAUAAUUUCCUAUGGUGUUUUGUUUAAAGGCUGAAAGUUUGAACCUUCUUAAUGUCAGUUUGUCAUAUUGUUUCCUCUCUUAGACAACAGAGCAUCCUCCUUAUCUGCAUUGUGUUUGACCAUAACGGCUGGUGACUCUAAAGUGCAAGUUCACACAUCAAUUCAGAUAUUGCUCCUGCCAGUGUUGGUGACUCCUUGGAUAUUUGACAGUGUCCUGCUGUCCAGCAUCUCUCCCCCCUAUCCCUAUCUUUGUAUCCCUCUUCUAUCCCACUCUAUCUGUAUACGGAAGCCUGAAAACCCUGAUAUUCUGAAACCUGAACCCUGAACCCUGAAACCUGAACCUAAGGUUAUUGCAACCUGUCUGAACAGAACUCUGAGAGUAUCUCCACUCUUCCGCUCUCUGUCUCUCCUCUGAACACUCACUCACCCGGGUUAUUGGUACCUGAUCUACCUUUUUGAAUGAUCUGAGAGAUUCUCUUCUCUCACUCUCACCUCUCUCCUAUCAACUCCUAUAUUUAUACAAUACUAUUACUAUUACUGUUACUAAUUUGACAAAACAUUUGAAAUUUACUAUUAAUGAGAUUAACAAAAUUGGCCUGAACAAAGAAUUGAAAAGUUAAUUCAGAAGCUGA